GAUGAACGCUGGCGGCAUGCCUAAUACAUGCAAGUCGAGCGAACAGAUGAAGUGCUUGCACUUCUGACGUUAGCGGCGAACGGGUGAGUAACACGUAAGGAAUCUACCUAUAAGCGGGGGAUAACAUUCGGAAACGGGUGCUAAUACCGCAUAAUAUCUUCUUCCGCAUGGAAGAAGAUCGAAAGACGGCUCUGCUGUCACUUAUGGAUGACCUUGCGGUGCAUUAGUUAGUUGGUGGGGUAAUGGCCUACCAAGACGAUGAUGCAUAGCCGACCUGAGAGGGUGAUCGGCCGCAUUGGGACUGAGACACGGCCCAAACUCCUACGGGAGGCAGCAGUAGGGAAUCUUCCGCAAUGGGCGAAAGCCUGACGGAGCAAUGCCGCGUGAGUGAAGAAGGCCUUCGGGUCGUAAAACUCUGUUAUAAGAGAAGAACAAAUUGUAGAGUAACUGCUACAGUCUUGACGGUAUCUUAUCAGAAAGCCACGGCUAACUACGUGCCAGCCGCCGCUGUAA
rnacentral:rRNA from 1 species